rnacentral:tRNA from 1 species
GCAUUCGUGGCCGAGCGGUUAAGGCGAAAGACUAGAAAUCUUUUGGGGUCUCCCCGCGCAGGUUCGAGUCCUGCCGAAUGCG